rnacentral:misc_RNA from 1 species
AACGAUUUGUCACUACUUUAUCAGUUGAUUGUGUAUCUCAUUUUGAGCUAAAAAUAUAUGGAAAAACCCUUGCUUUGUCGAAAGUAAUAUAUACAAAAGAUUCAUAUAAUACAGUAGAAACCUCAACAAUGUCUAAGUUCGAGGAUAAUCCGUUUGGGGAUCCUACCAUAGACAACCCAUUUGCCGACCCUGCCGUCCAGCAAGUUGCGAGAAGUACGAACAAUGCGACACAAGGUCUUGACGAUUACAAUCCCUUCGAUGGACAGCCUAAUGCAAAUCAACCCACGGCCCCACAAGCACCGCAGCCAGCUAUCAUGCAGGCAAUGUCACCGCCCACAAACGCACGGCUUGCUGGAGGUGGUCACGCGCCAGCACAACAGCAACCACAAGGGCCACCCAAUAAUAACCUCACGGCUGACCUUUUGAGGCGGCAAGAAGAACUAGAACGUAAAGCAGAGGAGCUCGCCAGGCGCGAAGCGGAACUCAGGGCCGGGUCCGCGGGCCGAAGGAAUAACUGGCCGCCCUUACCCGGCUUCUGUCCUGUCCAACCAUGCUUCUACCAGGAUAUCAACGUGGAUAUACCGCUCGAGUUCCAGAGGAUCGUGAGGCACCUGUACCACCUGUGGAUGUUCCACGCGCUAAUCCUGGCCUUAAAUAUCGUGGGCGCCAUGUGCCUGAUGUUCGCCGGGGCAGGUUUCACCGUCUUUGGCCUGGCCAUCCUGUACUUUGUACUGCUGACCCCGUUCAGCUUCGUGUGCUGGUACCGGCCCAUCUACAAGGCGUUCAGAAGCGACUCUUCGUUCAACUUUAUGGUCUACUUCUUCAUAUUCCUGUUCCAAAUCAUCAUUGCUGUUGUGCAGAGCGUUGGGUUCAAUGGAAGUGGCUAUUGCGGUCUGAUCACCAGCAUCGCCAUGUUCCAGACCAACAUCGGGGUCGGAAUCAUCACCAUUCUGAUCACCAUUGGCUUCAUUACUUCUGCCGUGGCCGAUGUCAUGCUCAUGGCUAAGGUGCACCGCAUCUACCGAUCAACAGGGGCGUCUCUAGCCAAGGCGCAAACGGAGUUCACGACGGAGAUCCUCCGCAACCCUCACGUUCAGACCGCCGCGUCCAGUGCGGCCGCCGCCGCUGUCAACGCGCAGAUCGCGCAAGCCAAUCGCUACUAGCCGAAGUGAAACAUACGGACCGCUCCAAACGUGCAUUUAGAAGAACGCAACGUACACUGGAAAUGAACUAGUGGUAAUUCGCUUUUUCUCUUCGUUCACGAGACGUGUAGAUAAAAUUAUCAUGUUUACAUUUUCCGUGGGCUUUUUCAUCGUAUUUAUUGUUGUGUGUUACGUUACCAAGCAGAUACAUGUUCGAAAAUCUAAAAAAACUGUAAGAGACGGGCGUACGACCGCGACCUCGAUUUAAUCGCCAAAUAUUUUCCUCCCAAUUAGGGCCGGUUGCAUCAAACCGUCUGUCACUGUAUCCGUUAAAGCAUUCGUUAAAUUUUAUUGUAGGAGAAUUUCCAUAAACGUCUGCUGCGUGACUAUGAUGUGUCUGUCAAAUGUGGUUGACUGGUUGAUGCAACUGGCCCUUAUAGGUGAAUCCUUAACGGACGUAGUACGGACUACUUACCUGAAGAUUGAAUCUGUCUUGGGCCCUGACCAAUGUAGUGUUCGUGUAUGCCUUGAAAUACAAGUAAUCAAUAUUUACUUUGGCAGAAGGUGGGUGUUAGUUGCUUUUACUCUAAGGCUGCCCAGUAUAACAACUUUGGCCAUUUACUAGCUAAUCAUGUCGCUGCUUGGUAAUAAAUUAAUGAUUCGCGAUCUAAUUGUUGUAUUAAAAUCAAGUCAAUGAUCAAAUAUUACGGAAUCCAGAUACCUAGUAUGUAUCAUAUGUAAAUUUCCCGACGACGAACUGUUAUGUUUGUUAUUAAUAGCUGUUGCGGUCAGUGAGCAGCCAAAUUGACAAGAGGGCUGUGUAUGUAAUCGUAAUAUCGAUAAUUAUUACUUAUUUAUGACUUACAAAGAUAAUUUUCUAAUAGAAUAAUCAGCUGCAAAAGCAGUGUAACACAAAAGUCAUGUGUUAAAGAUGUGACUUCGUAUUUUGUCUAAGUUAUGAAGUACAAUAUUAGGUACUUUCUUCCGUGCCAUGAGGUGACAGUCGACUUUUGUUGACAAUAAACUCGUUCGCAGUCAGUAUCGCCCGCAUUGAUGUAUUGAUUCGAUAGAGUGGGACUGCUAGUUCAAUUUCUAACUUAAAUGUAAAACUGUCAACUCAUGGUACGGGUAGUAAUGUCCAAAAUAAUUAUAUAGCAGUAAAUAACUUGCUGUCACAGUUAAAAUUGUGUUGCGCUGCUUUUCAUCGUCACUUUGUUUGAUUAUAUCGUAUUAUAUUUUAGUGUUAAGCAUCGCCAAUAAAAUUAAAUUAUUAAGUUGAUUGCUAAUUUUAUAAACAUUUUAAAUAAUGUGAGCUUAAUGAUGCUUUAAUGUUCUACAAAGUCUAACUGAAAUUAAUUAUGUUUUACGUCAGGUCAAAGUGGCUCUUAUACUUAAAGACCUGGGUUGCUUUAUGUUACUAAAGUCCCUAAAAAUAAUUAACAUGCGAUCAGUCGGGGCAGAAAUAACUUUAGGGCAAAUAAAAGCACAGGUAGGCAGAUGGUGAAAGCGAAAGGAUGCCUUAUUUACACGUUGGAAGGUGUAUAUCUGCUCAAUGACUGUUUUUUCCCCAAUUGAUUUUUUAUGAAGUUAAAAUGUUAAACUAAGUUCAUCAAAGUGCGAUUUUAGUGUUUAUGUCAAUUAUUUUUUACUUUCGCACUUUUUGAGCAGAGCCUUAUUAGAUUUUAUUACGUUAUAGAAUGCCCUUGUAACCUAGUAAUUUAUAAGAUAAAGGGGUGUUCACAUUCAUUUUUGCUUCAAUUGUAUCCACGGUUAAUUUAUUUUUGGCAAUAUGUGAACAUUCCAAAGCGAAACGUCUUAACUAAAUGUAAAUAUUUUCUAACUUUAAUUUAUAUAUGUCCAUGUAAAUUAGGACUGCAUAUAGCACUUGCUGUUUUUAGUAUUAAUGGUUGAAUUAAAUACCAUUCUGUGUGGAUUUGGUAGGUUUGAACUGAUUAAUAUAAAUCAUUCGGUUUAGCCUAGUUUUGAUAUAGUAAUAAUAUAUAAAGACAGUUAAAGAGCAA